AGUUUCUCCUUGCUUAACUGGAACGUGCGUGGGCUAAAUGGCUGCGCACGUCGGUGCGGUGUACACAGCCUUGUCAACCAAACCCGUUGCUCCCUGCUCUGUCUCCAAGAAACCAAGCGCGAGCACUUCUCUGAUGCUCUGCUUGCCGAGGUGAUGGGCGCACGGCUAAUGGGCUCUGUGCUCUUGCCGGCCGUGGGCACUAGAGGCGGGAUCUUGCUAGCCUGGGAUGCAAUCCAUUUCGACGUCGACACACUUGAUGUCUCUGCGUUCGCCAUCUCGGUGCAAGUGCAGCCAAGAACUGGAGAGGCUGCCUGGACGCUCACCACCGUCUAUGGGCCGACCGACGAUGGUUUGAAGCCAUUAUUCCUUGAUGAUCUGCGUAGGAUCAGGGGCCUGGUGAAUGGAGCUUGGCUUCUAGUGGGCGACUUCAAUCUUAUUUAUCAAACUAGGGACAAGAACAAUGUGCAUGUUAACCGUCGGCUGAUGGCGCAAUUCAGUGAUGCGCUGCACUCCAGCGACCUCUUGGAGAUCAAGCUGUGA
rnacentral:rRNA from 1 species